UAACCAUGAUAGGGACAGGAGUUAAUUAAAUCUUGAUAUCUCUCCCAAUACUCAUAGAAUGACUCUUUUUCAUUUUGUUUAAAAAAAUGAUUUUCCUUCUAAGAGUCA
rfam:Vitis vinifera, whole genome shotgun sequence of line PN40024, unoriented chromosome 18, chr18